UUAAGCGACUAAGCGUACACGGUGGAUGCCCUGGCAGUCAGAGGCGAUGAAGGACGUGCUAAUCUGCGAUAAGCGUCGGUAAGGUGAUAUGAACCGUUAUAACCGGCGAUUUCCGAAUGGGGAAACCCAGUGUGUUUCGACACACUAUCAUUAACUGAAUCCAUAGGUUAAUGAGGCGAACCGGGGGAACUGAAACAUCUAAGUACCCCGAGGAAAAGAAAUCAACCGAGAUUCCCCCAGUAGCGGCGAGCGAACGGGGAGCAGCCCAGAGCCUGAAUCAGUGUGUGUGUUAGUGGAAGCGUCUGGAAAGGCGCGCGAUACAGGGUGACAGCCCCGUACACAAAAAUGCACAUGCUGUGAGCUCGAUGAGUAGGGCGGGACACGUGGUAUCCUGUCUGAAUAUGGGGGGACCAUCCUCCAAGGCUAAAUACUCCUGACUGACCGAUAGUGAACCAGUACCGUGAGGGAAAGGCGAAAAGAACCCCGGCGAGGGGAGUGAAAAAGAACCUGAAACCGUGUACGUACAAGCAGUGGGAGCACGCUUCGGCGUGUGACUGCGUACCUUUUGUAUAAUGGGUCAGCGACUUAUAUUCUGUAGCAAGGUUAACCGAAUAGGGGAGCCGAAGGGAAACCGAGUCUUAACUGGGCGUUAAGUUGCAGGGUAUAGACCCGAAACCCGGUGAUCUAGCCAUGGGCAGGUUGAAGGUUGGGUAACACUAACUGGAGGACCGAACCGACUAAUGUUGAAAAAUUAGCGGAUGACUUGUGGCUGGGGGUGAAAGGCCAAUCAAACCGGGAGAUAGCUGGUUCUCCCCGAAAGCUAUUUAGGUAGCGCCUCGUGAAUUCAUCUCCGGGGGUAGAGCACUGUUUCGGCAAGGGGGUCAUCCCGACUUACCAACCCGAUGCAAACUGCGAAUACCGGAGAAUGUUAUCACGGGAGACACACGGCGGGUGCUAACGUCCGUCGUGAAGAGGGAAACAACCCAGACCGCCAGCUAAGGUCCCAAAGUCAUGGUUAAGUGGGAAACGAUGUGGGAAGGCCCAGACAGCCAGGAUGUUGGCUUAGAAGCAGCCAUCAUUUAAAGAAAGCGUAAUAGCUCACUGGUCGAGUCGGCCUGCGCGGAAGAUGUAACGGGGCUAAACCAUGCACCGAAGCUGCGGCAGCGACGCUUAUGCGUUGUUGGGUAGGGGAGCGUUCUGUAAGCCUGUGAAGGUGUACUGUGAGGUAUGCUGGAGGUAUCAGAAGUGCGAAUGCUGACAUAAGUAACGAUAAAGCGGGUGAAAAGCCCGCUCGCCGGAAGACCAAGGGUUCCUGUCCAACGUUAAUCGGGGCAGGGUGAGUCGACCCCUAAGGCGAGGCCGAAAGGCGUAGUCGAUGGGAAACAGGUUAAUAUUCCUGUACUUGGUGUUACUGCGAAGGGGGGACGGAGAAGGCUAUGUUGGCCGGGCGACGGUUGUCCCGGUUUAAGCGUGUAGGCUGGUUUUCCAGGCAAAUCCGGAAAAUCAAGGCUGAGGCGUGAUGACGAGGCACUACGGUGCUGAAGCAACAAAUGCCCUGCUUCCAGGAAAAGCCUCUAAGCAUCAGGUAACAUCAAAUCGUACCCCAAACCGACACAGGUGGUCAGGUAGAGAAUACCAAGGCGCUUGAGAGAACUCGGGUGAAGGAACUAGGCAAAAUGGUGCCGUAACUUCGGGAGAAGGCACGCUGAUAUGUAGGUGAAGCGACUUGCUCGUGGAGCUGAAAUCAGUCGAAGAUACCAGCUGGCUGCAACUGUUUAUUAAAAACACAGCACUGUGCAAACACGAAAGUGGACGUAUACGGUGUGACGCCUGCCCGGUGCCGGAAGGUUAAUUGAUGGGGUUAGCGCAAGCGAAGCUCUUGAUCGAAGCCCCGGUAAACGGCGGCCGUAACUAUAACGGUCCUAAGGUAGCGAAAUUCCUUGUCGGGUAAGUUCCGACCUGCACGAAUGGCGUAAUGAUGGCCAGGCUGUCUCCACCCGAGACUCAGUGAAAUUGAACUCGCUGUGAAGAUGCAGUGUACCCGCGGCAAGACGGAAAGACCCCGUGAACCUUUACUAUAGCUUGACACUGAACAUUGAGCCUUGAUGUGUAGGAUAGGUGGGAGGCUUUGAAGUGUGGACGCCAGUCUGCAUGGAGCCGACCUUGAAAUACCACCCUUUAAUGUUUGAUGUUCUAACGUUGACCCGUAAUCCGGGUUGCGGACAGUGUCUGGUGGGUAGUUUGACUGGGGCGGUCUCCUCCUAAAGAGUAACGGAGGAGCACGAAGGUUGGCUAAUCCUGGUCGGACAUCAGGAGGUUAGUGCAAUGGCAUAAGCCAGCUUGACUGCGAGCGUGACGGCGCGAGCAGGUGCGAAAGCAGGUCAUAGUGAUCCGGUGGUUCUGAAUGGAAGGGCCAUCGCUCAACGGAUAAAAGGUACUCCGGGGAUAACAGGCUGAUACCGCCCAAGAGUUCAUAUCGACGGCGGUGUUUGGCACCUCGAUGUCGGCUCAUCACAUCCUGGGGCUGAAGUAGGUCCCAAGGGUAUGGCUGUUCGCCAUUUAAAGUGGUACGCGAGCUGGGUUUAGAACGUCGUGAGACAGUUCGGUCCCUAUCUGCCGUGGGCGCUGGAGAACUGAGGGGGGCUGCUCCUAGUACGAGAGGACCGGAGUGGACGCAUCACUGGUGUUCGGGUUGUCAUGCCAAUGGCACUGCCCGGUAGCUAAAUGCGGAAGAGAUAAGUGCUGAAAGCAUCUAAGCACGAAACUUGCCCCGAGAUGAGUUCUCCCUGACUCCUUGAGAGUCCUGAAGGAACGUUGAAGACGACGACGUUGAUAGGCCGGGUGUGUAAGCGCAGCGAUGCGUUGAGCUAACCGGUACUAAUGAACCGUGAGGCUUAACCUU
rnacentral:rRNA from 1 species